rnacentral:rRNA from 1 species
AUGGUCUUCAAUAAGAGUGUCGACAGAGACGAGGUCAUCAAUGAUGGUCAUCAUAAUCUGGAGCUUCUUGAUGCCAUAUCCAACGGGCAUGAGCUUGGCUGCAAGGGACGGCAAACCCACAACAUUACAAAACAAGUAAAUUGUGCAGACAGAAAAAUAAAAUGUACCACCGUCAGCAGAAAAACAUUCAAGAGUAGUGACAUACAAGCACCCCACAGAAGGCCCUCCAUCUUGAUGCUUCGGACAGCUUCCUCCAGCUUGACCAUGUCGGUCUCAUCGUCCCAUGGCUUAACAUCAAGCAAAACUGAUGACUUGCCAGCUGACAACAACAAAAGUACCAAAUUAGUACAAAAAUUGAGUUUUGAAGUUUAA